CGCAUCUGUAGCAAUUACAGAUGGCGCACGGCGCACGGGUGCGUAACACGUGGGUAAUCUGCCCUUCGAAGGGGAAUAACUCGCCGAAAGGCGAGCUAAUUCCGCAUAACAUUCCGAGAACCUUGGUUUUUGGAUUCAAAGGCGUAAGUCGUCGGAGGAGGAGCCCGCGCACGAUUAGCUAGUUGGUAGGGUAACGGCCUACCAAGGCUACGAUCGUUAGCUGGUCUGAGAGGAUGGCCAGCCACACUGGAACUGAGACACGGUCCAGACUCCUACGGGAGGCAGCAGUGGGGAAUCUUGCACAAUGGGCGAAAGCCUGAUGCAGCGACGCCGCGUGGGGGAUGAAGCUUCUCGGAGUGUAAACCCCUUUCGACCCGGACGAAUGCCCC
rnacentral:rRNA from 1 species